UACGGGGGGAGCAAGCGUUGUUCGGAUUUACUGGGCGUAAAGGGCGCGUAGGCGGCCUCUGCAAGUCGACUGUGAAAUCUCCGGGCUUAACCCGGAAAGGUCAGCCGAUACUGCAGGGCUAGAGUGCAGAAGUGGCAACUGGAAUUCUCGGUGUAGCGGUGAAAUGCGUAGAUAUCGAGAGGAACACCUGCGGCGAAGGCGGGUUGCUGGGCUGACACUGACGCUGAAGCGCGAAAGCUAGGGGAGCGAACGGG
rnacentral:rRNA from 1 species